UGGGGAAUAUUGGACAAUGGGGGGAACCCUGAUCCAGCCAUGCCGCGUGUGUGAAGAAGGCCUUAUGGCUGUAAAGCACUUUAAGCGAGGAGGAGGGUACUGGUAUUAAUACUACCAGGUACUGGACGUUACUCGCAGAAUAAGCACCGGCUAACUCUGUGCCAGCAGCCGCGGUAAUACAGAGGGUGCGAGCGUUAAUCGGAUUUACUGGGCGUAAAGCGUGCGUAGGCGGCUAAUUGAGUCGGAUGUGAAAUCCCCGAGCUUAACUUGGGAAUUGCAUUCGAUACUGGUUAGCUAGAGUGUGGGAGAGGAUGGUAGAAUUCCAGGUGUAGCGGUGAAAUGCGUAGAGAUCUGGAGGAAUACCGAUGGCGAAGGCAGCCGUCUGGCCUAACACUGACGCUGAGGUACGAAAGCAUGGGGAGCAAACAGG
rnacentral:rRNA from 1 species